AUUAAGAGCUUGCUCUUAUGAUUAGUGGCGCACGGGUGAGUAAUGCAUAGGUAACGUGCCCCUUAGUCUGGGAUAGCCACUGGAAACGGUGAAUAAUACCGGAUACUCCUUCUUUCUUAAUGAGAGUCGGGAAAGUUUUCGCUAAGGGAUCGGCCUAUGUUGUAUCAGGUAGUUGGUGAGGUAAUGGCUCACCAAGCCUAUGACACAUAGCGGGUCUGAGAGGAUGAUCCGCCACACUGGUACUGAGACACGGACCAGACUCC
rnacentral:rRNA from 1 species